CCUACGGGUGGCAGCAGUCGAGAAUCAUUCACAAUGGGGGAAACCCUGAUGGUGCGACGCCGCGUGGGGGAAUGAAGGUCUUCGGAUUGUAAACCCCUGUCAUGUGGGAGCAAAUUAAAAAGAUAGUACCACAAGAGGAAGAGACGGCUAACUCUGUGCCAGCAGCUGCGGUAAUACAGAGGUCUCAAGCGUUGUUCGGAAUCACUGGGCGUAAAGCGUGCGUAGGCUGUUUCGUAAGUCGUGUGUGAAAGGCGCGGGCUCAACCCGCGGACGGCACAUGAUACUGCGAGACUAGAGUAAGGGAGGGGGAACCGGAAUUCUCGGUGUAGCAGUGAAAUGCGUAGAUAUCGAGAGGAACACUCGUGGCGAAGGCGGGUUCCUGGACAUUAACUGACGCUGAGGCACGAAGGCGAGGGGAGCGAAAGGGAUUAGAUACCCUUGUAGUC
rnacentral:rRNA from 1 species